rnacentral:rRNA from 1 species
UUAAGUUAUUAAGGGCGCACGGUGGAUGCCUUGGCACUAGAAGCCGAUGAAGGACGUUACUAACGACGAUAUGCUUUGGGGAGCUGUAAGUAAGCUUUGAUCCAGAGAUUUCCGAAUGGGGAAACCCAGCAUGAGUUAUGUCAUGUUAUCGAUAUGUGAAUACAUAGCAUAUCAGAAGGCACACCCGGAGAACUGAAACAUCUUAGUACCCGGAGGAAGAGAAAGAAAAUUCGAUUCCCUUAGUAGCGGCGAGCGAAACGGGAAGAGCCCAAACCAACAAGCUUGCUUGUUGGGGUUGUAGGACACUCUAUACGGAGUUACAAAGGACGACAUUAGACGAAUCAUCUGGAAAGAUGAAUCAAAGAAGGUAAUAAUCCUGUAGUCGAAAAUGUUGUCUCUCUUGAGUGGAUCCUGAGUACGACGGAGCACGUGAAAUUCCGUCGGAAUCUGGGAGGACCAUCUCCUAAGGCUAAAUACUCUCUAGUGACCGAUAGUGAACCAGUACCGUGAGGGAAAGGUGAAAAGCACCCCGGAAGGGGAGUGAAAUAGAACCUGAAACCGUGUGCUUACAAGUAGUCAGAGCCCGUUAAUGGGUGAUGGCGUGCCUUUUGUAGAAUGAACCGGCGAGUUACGAUUUGAUGCAAGGUUAAGCAGUAAAUGUGGAGCCGUAGCGAAAGCGAGUCUGAAUAGGGCGUUUAGUAUUUGGUCGUAGACCCGAAACCAGGUGAUCUACCCUUGGUCAGGUUGAAGUUCAGGUAACACUGAAUGGAGGACCGAACCGACUUACGUUGAAAAGUGAGCGGAUGAACUGAGGGUAGCGGAGAAAUUCCAAUCGAACCUGGAGAUAGCUGGUUCUCUCCGAAAUAGCUUUAGGGCUAGCCUCAAGUGAUGAUUAUUGGAGGUAGAGCACUGUUUGGACGAGGGGCCCCUCUCGGGUUACCGAAUUCAGACAAACUCCGAAUGCCAAUUAAUUUAACUUGGGAGUCAGAACAUGGGUGAUAAGGUCCGUGUUCGAAAGGGAAACAGCCCAGACCACCAGCUAAGGUCCCAAAAUAUAUGUUAAGUGGAAAAGGAUGUGGCGUUGCCCAGACAACUAGGAUGUUGGCUUAGAAGCAGCCAUCAUUUAAAGAGUGCGUAAUAGCUCACUAGUCGAGUGACACUGCGCCGAAAAUGUACCGGGGCUAAACAUAUUACCGAAGCUGUGGAUUGUCCUUUGGACAAUGGUAGGAGAGCGUUCUAAGGGCGUUGAAGCAUGAUCGUAAGGAUAUGUGGAGCGCUUAGAAGUGAGAAUGCCGGUGUGAGUAGCGAAAGACGGGUGAGAAUCCCGUCCACCGAUUGACUAAGGUUUCCAGAGGAAGGCUCGUCCGCUCUGGGUUAGUCGGGUCCUAAGCUGAGGCCGACAGGCGUAGGCGAUGGAUAACAGGUUGAUAUUCCUGUACCACCUAUAAUCGUUUUAAUCGAUGGGGGGACGCAGUAGGAUAGGCGAAGCGUGCGAUUGGAUUGCACGUCUAAGCAGUAAGGCUGAGUAUUAGGCAAAUCCGGUACUCAUUAAGGCUGAGCUGUGAUGGGGAGAAGACAUUGUGUCUUCGAGUCGUUGAUUUCACACUGCCGAGAAAAGCCUCUAGAUAGAAAAUAGGUGCCCGUACCGCAAACCGACACAGGUAGUCAAGAUGAGAAUUCUAAGGUGAGCGAGCGAACUCUCGUUAAGGAACUCGGCAAAAUGACCCCGUAACUUCGGGAGAAGGGGUGCUCUUUAGGGUUAACGCCCAGAAGAGCCGCAGUGAAUAGGCCCAAGCGACUGUUUAUCAAAAACACAGGUCUCUGCUAAACCGUAAGGUGAUGUAUAGGGGCUGACGCCUGCCCGGUGCUGGAAGGUUAAGAGGAGUGGUUAGCUUCUGCGAAGCUACGAAUCGAAGCCCCAGUAAACGGCGGCCGUAACUAUAACGGUCCUAAGGUAGCGAAAUUCCUUGUCGGGUAAGUUCCGACCCGCACGAAAGGCGUAACGAUUUGGGCACUGUCUCAACGAGAGACUCGGUGAAAUCAUAGUACCUGUGAAGAUGCAGGUUACCCGCGACAGGACGGAAAGACCCCGUGGAGCUUUACUGUAGCCUGAUAUUGAAAUUCGGCACAGCUUGUACAGGAUAGGUAGGAGCCUUUGAAACGUGAGCGCUAGCUUACGUGGAGGCGCUGGUGGGAUACUACCCUAGCUGUGUUGGCUUUCUAACCCGCACCACUUAUCGUGGUGGGAGACAGUGUCAGGCGGGCAGUUUGACUGGGGCGGUCGCCUCCUAAAAGGUAACGGAGGCGCUCAAAGGUUCCCUCAGAAUGGUUGGAAAUCAUUCAUAGAGUGUAAAGGCAUAAGGGAGCUUGACUGCGAGACCUACAAGUCGAGCAGGGUCGAAAGACGGACUUAGUGAUCCGGUGGUUCCGCAUGGAAGGGCCAUCGCUCAACGGAUAAAAGCUACCCCGGGGAUAACAGGCUUAUCUCCCCCAAGAGUUCACAUCGACGGGGAGGUUUGGCACCUCGAUGUCGGCUCAUCGCAUCCUGGGGCUGUAGUCGGUCCCAAGGGUUGGGCUGUUCGCCCAUUAAAGCGGUACGCGAGCUGGGUUCAGAACGUCGUGAGACAGUUCGGUCCCUAUCCGUCGUGGGCGUAGGAAAUUUGAGAGGAGCUGUCCUUAGUACGAGAGGACCGGGAUGGACAUACCUCUGGUGUACCAGUUGUCGUGCCAACGGCAUAGCUGGGUAGCUAUGUGUGGACGGGAUAAGUGCUGAAAGCAUCUAAGCAUGAAGCCCCCCUCAAGAUGAGAUUUCCCAACUUCGGUUAUAAGAUCCCUCAAAGAUGAUGAGGUUAAUAGGUUCGAGGUGGAAGCAUGGUGACAUGUGGAGCUGACGAAUACUAAUCGAUCGAAGACUUAAUCAA